CGCUUGCGACGUCUUAAGAGGAUGAAGGCUCCCCACCUCCCUUCCGUGCACCCCACCCCCCUGGAUCUUUUCAACCGUGAAAGGCACCGAAAUGAACAGGUUUACAGCGUCGGCGGGUAGUUGUGCAGAGUUGCCGACGGGUCAACACGUACGUCGCCCGUCAACUCUCGUCCUAAAUCCUCUAUCAGUAUCUAGUGUUAUCUCUACACAUGUUUCCUGUUAUCUCGUUCCCGUAAUUAUUAUUUAUUUUUUUUUAUUGAUCAAGUUCACCGUGCGAGUUGUUGAAUUGCCUGGCGUCUGAAGAACAAGUUCCCGUCCGAAGCAAAAAAAAUUCCUUGCAUCGCAAGAUGCAUCUGCAUUUUGAGGAGCCUAGUAGCCAACUGCGUUGCGACUCGGUCAUCAAUUCCCUAUCGUGGAUGGGACGCGUCCCCGAUGAACAGCCCGAGGGACACGGAUGGAAGUUGAAUCGAACCAGUUACUAUCAAGAGGGCUGGUUAGCGGCUGGUAACAACAGGAGCGUUGUUGGAGUCACGUUUACGAGCACACUACCUCAUCGCAACGUCUCCAAUUCGACGGGAGAUGGUAAUGAAAUAUCCGGCAGUCUGCCGCCGACUCCGCCACACCUUCCGUUACCGCCACGCACCAAUUACAACUUGCGCGGACAUCGAGCUCAGAUAAGUUUGGUGAGGUGGAACGAGCCGUACCAAAAGUUGGCCACGUGCGACGUGUCCGGCAUCAUCUUCGUCUGGAUCCGCUACGAAGGCCGCUGGUCCAUCGAGCUCAUCAACGAUCGCAACACUCCCGUAACCCACUUUUCAUGGUCGCACGACGGUCGUAUGGCAGUCAUCGCUUACCAGGAUGGAUUCGUUCUCGUUGGCUCCGUUGCUGGACAGCGCUAUUGGUCGACCGUACUCAACCAAGAGUCCAUCAUUACCACCGGAACUUGGACCCCUGAUGAUCAACAGGUUUAUCUGGGAACGUCGAGUGGAUCAAUCGUCGUGUUGGACGUGCAUAAUGGCGCUGUCGUAGCGCAAAUUCAAAUGUCGGAACCGACUAGCAUAUCGCCUGGUUCGAUAUCGAGUAGUAGCACUAACCACACAUCACCUGCCAAUGGCAUUCGUCAGCUGGCGUGGAACUGUCCGCGAUUUAAAAUGGAAGAACCGACGUCAUCGACGCUUUCAACUAACGCACCACGUCAAACAACAUCUGCAGAUGGCCAUUUACUCUCUUCCAUGCCCAAUGGUGUGGAGGAUCAACAUCAUGUCUUGGCCGUCCUGACUGUGGGGGGCCGGUUGAGUUUGAUUAAAGGUUUCGACGACAUCCAUCCUUGUUCCGCGGUGGAUGAUGACGACGAAGCCGACGGAUAUUCAGGUAGUGGAAACGUUCCUUGCUGGAACAAGGGACCACUGUCAUCUCCCAUGAUGGAAUGGAAUAAUGAUGGUGAAUUACUCUGCCUCGGGGGUCACCAUCACGUUCAGAGCUCCUCUGCUGGGCUUCAUCACUACGCCAACGUCCUCCAGUUUUACAACAGCCGUGGCGUUUUGCGAUUCCGCAUCGCCGUGCCCUACACCCAGGCUCCAAUUACAAGUUUUACGUGGGGACAUAACGAUCGACGUCUGUUUGUGGCAACGGGAUGCACAGUUCAUGUUGCAUGGGUUUCACCUCGAAGGAUCGCCUCCUUGCAGCAUUUAGCGCGUCUCAAGCUCAGACGAUGUUUAACCGGACCGGACCAACUUGACGACCCCAUAUUCACUGACCGAAUACCCAGGCUCAUCCGUAACUUGAUCGUUUCCCUCUUUUCCAGCACCGUCCAUUGUCAUGUUCCGGAAGAGCGACGAAUUCGAGAUUAUGUCUGCAAACCGCCACCGGGUAAUACACGGCUCUACUGCACUAUGAUACGACGCGAUGAAGAAGACUCUGCCGGCUGGCAUGGAGUGGACGGACUGAUCGAUCCGAUCGAUCCUGAUGCACCAACCAGCAGCGGUGGAGGUGUUGGCUUCACCCUCUAUCUCGAAUUCCUCGGUGGACUCAUUCCUCUUCUCAAGGGUAAACCAACGUCGAGAAUAAGACCAGAGUUUGUUAUUUACGAUCCGCGAAAGUUCUCCAGCAACGAUAUGAGUAAAAGUCAGCCUUUGUUGAACAAGAGCUCCGAAUUGCUUUUAGCUCCUCCACCUACAUCGGCCAGCAAAUUCCAGCAAUUGCUUAGUCCUGGUCUUAGACGUAAAUUCAGGCGAAAUCGUCCGGCUGCUGGACAGCACUCGGCUGAUUCAGAUUCCGAAACGGACGAUAGUUGCGUAUCGACCCCAAGACUUCAGCGGAAAUUUGGAGGGAGGAAACUCAACAACCAACAUGCUAAUCCUGGGGAUAAUAACGACUGUAAAACUAAUGGAGAGAAUUCAACGCUGGCUGUAGUGGCUUCAAACAUUUGGGGAACUCGAUUCAAAAUCACUGGAUUAACGCCAUCUCUGCCGACGCAUCUUGGUCAGAUUACGUACAAGACGUCAUUGUUACACCUUCAACCGCGUCAAAUGACGCUGGGCGUGGUCGAUUUACGUGAUUCUUCACCUGGAACUGAAGUAGAAGAAGAAGGGGCACCCAUUUCAAUCUGCCCGUCGGACGAAGAAGAUAAUUCGAAAGGCAAUAGAGAAUCAUCGAACCGUCAACAUCCGCCCAUAGUUCCACUGACGACACCUAAUUUACGAUUGAGACGGAAAGCCGGAAUGAGCCGGAUGGAACCCCCACCUUCACCGACUCAUCAUCGACGGACGGUUCAACAUCAACCUCAGACGACACUCGACGAAAUGUUACGGAUCGAGUGGAACUCUGACUCGCGGAUCAUAUUGUCUACACCGGCCGUUAGAUGGCGUAGUCAGAGCGUUGGGCAUCUCGCAAUAGCGUCUGCAAUCAGCAACAAUAGCAAUUGGCCUUAUAGUAGACGAAGAAAGAGUCGCUCACUGGACUCUAGUCCUGUUGUUGGUAGUAAUCGGAGCCGUUGUUCGGGAUUACCGGACAUUCGUAGCUCUUGGGCCGUCCAAAUUACUCAACCAUUAGUUACAAAAGCAACGACGACGGACAAAAAAACGAGCACAAACUCGUUUCGUUCGAGAGUUGGCAGCCAAGUUUUGCAGGCCCAACAUGUGUCCGAUGGCGAAGGUCAUAGUAAAGUUAAUAAGGAAAAGCGUUUCGCUUUGGCCCGACUCAGUCCAUUGUUUGGUCGUAAAUGCUCAUCGUCGGCAGGGAAAUCGACUGCUGGCCGAUCUGAACCCAACACACCUAAUUCUAGUCCAGCCAUAGGACGUCGCCGGAAUAAUUCGUCGGCUACAGUAAAAAAUGAACGCCGCCACCAAUCUCCUAUACGGCAAUUGCUCAAUUCUCCGUUGCUGGCCAGACGGCUGGGAAAAAAUCGUUUUGCUCCUGCUGCCGCCACUGCAACAGCUAUGGAAAGCUCAGACGAUGACAUUGAUGAUCCUCAGGCAACAACAGUCCAUAAUUUUCACGAUCUUGAGUUUCCAAAAAGCUCAGCUGCUCAAUAAGCUACGACAGACAUGGAUAGCUGAAAAGAAUUCAGCAACUAAUGGUGAAGAACGUGAAACACCAGCUCAGACGAGACGAAGAUGUGAGUUUGUUUUGGACAACAAAGCCCCGUUGUGGAACGAGCACAGUCAAGUCUAUCAGUUGGACUUUGGAGGGAGAGUGACCCAAGAAUCUGCGAAAAAUUUCCAGAUUGAAUUCAAGGGAAAACAGGUUAUGCAGUUUGGCAGAAUCGAUGGGAAUGCCUACACGUAGAUUUUCAGUAUCUUUCUCAGCUAUCCAGGCCUUUGCUGUGGCAUUGGCAAACGUGACUCAACGAUUGAAAUAAAAAUGGAAUUUGAAUAAAUCUGUCCAGAGAUGGUCAAUAUGCCUCUUGUGAUAUUAAACAUUUGUAACUGUGAGAAUUUAUUUCACAUGUCAUUCCUUUGUUUAUUAUGAAAGUUUUCAAUACACGUUAAUGAAUGGGAA